CAUGCCUGCAGUAGUUAAUUUAUAACAUCAGUGGUGGUAACCUGGCAGGCUGCAUCUGAUAUUUCCAAACUGCUGACAGUAAAAACCUCAGAUGACUUUGGGGAGAAUCAAACAGCAGAGCAGGGGACACUUUGGUCGGGUCCAGGAGAUCCCCAGUCACUCAACAUAUCCCCGGCAGUUCUCCCCUGCUGAGUCGAGUCCUGCUUUAUCUUCCUGAGUCCACUAAUGGUUUAAAGAAUCACCACUUUAUCGUGGCUGCCGGGUUUGUGCUUCCCUAUGGCUCUGGGAGCUGUGUUGUCCAGAGCUAUAACUCCUCAUAGAGUCUCCCAAGUUAAACUGGUCCCAGGAGAUGAGCCAGACUAAGAGCGACUCACAGACCACGUUAAUCUGCUGAGACGGACCUGCAGCACUUCAGCCAGAAUAAAGAAACCGGGGCCCCCUUAUGCAGCUAAGACUAAGAUAAAAGCAAAUCUGAAAAAGUAUUCAGGACCGAGACCAUUAAGUGGUUAAAAAACUAAUAAAAAGAUCUUCAAAUCAAUUUUGAAUCAGUCAGGUAGCUAAUGCAGAGACUUUAAAAUUGGUGUAAGGUGUGCUCUCUUUCUGGUCCUAGUCAGCACACGUGCAGCUGUGUUUUGAAGCGGCCGCAGUUGAAACGUAUUCUUUUUUGGGAGACCAGAAAGAAGAGCAUUACAGUAAUCAACCCUAGAGGUAAAAGUGUCUCUGUACUGGCAUGGGAGAGAAAUAGUCACACUCUGGCAAUGUUCUUAAGAUGAUAAAAACACUCUUAGUAAUGUUUUUAAUGUAGAGUCAAAUAUGAAUCCCAAGUUUUUCACCUUAUCAAAGGGUUUUAAUGUCAGUGCUCGCAGUUUCACGUGGAGUUUCUGUGUCUAAUUCACAAUUAGUUCCUUAAUAUCAAACCAGACAUUUUGUUUGUGAAAACAGAGAAAGAAACAAAAAUAAAAAACUUCCAGCAGAUGAAAGAGUUAAAUAACAAACAGCU